rnacentral:rRNA from 1 species
UGAUGUGUACGUGAAUCAUCGAAUCUUUGAACGCAAGUGGCGCUCUCACGCUUGCGUGGGAGCAUGCCUCUUUCAGCAUCGGUUAUUCCAUCCUCAUCUGCUUGCCAGAUGGAGAAUGAGUUGUCGCUCUGGUCCCGUCAAAGGAUAGAGCGUCACUUUAAGUCAGGCGAGCUCAGUCGCAAGUUUCACUGAGAAAGUGACGUUGGUAGGUAAUAGGCUUUCGGGCCUCUUUACUUCACACCGCGUCUGCUUUCGUUUGUCAGGUGAAGCUGCCCUAGAACAAGAUUAGCAAUAGUCUUGAGAUUAGGACGACUAGCGUAAGAGCUGUCUCUCUGUUUUCAGAGAGUAGCAGCUCAACUUUAACGACUUGAUCUGAAAUGAGGUAAGAGGACCCGCCGAAUUUAAGCAUAUCAAUAAGCGGAGG